rnacentral:rRNA from 1 species
UUGACCUCGAAUCAGGUAGGACUACCCGCUGAACUUAAGCAUAUCAAUAAGCGGAGGAAAAGAAACCAACAGGGAUUGCCC